rnacentral:rRNA from 1 species
AUUGAACGCUGGCGGCAUGCUUUACACAUGCAAGUCGAACGGCAGCGCGGGCUUCGGCCUGGCGGCGAGUGGCGAACGGGUGAGUAAUGCAUCGGAACGUGCCCGGUAGUGGGGGAUAGCGCGGCGAAAGCGGGAUUAAUACCGCAUACGACCUGAGGGUGAAAGCGGGGGACCGUAAGACCUCGCGCUAUUAGAGCAGCCGAUGUCGGAUUAGCUAGUUGGUGGGGUAAAGGCCUACCAAGGCGACGAUCCGUAACUGGUCUGAGAGGAUGAUCAGUCACACUGGAACUGAGACACGGUCCAGACUCCUACGGGAGGCAGCAGUGGGGAAUAUUGGACAAUGGGGGAAAGCCUGAUCCAGCCAUGCCGCGUGUGUGAAGAAGGUCUUCGGAUUGUAAAGCACUUUAAGUUGGGAGGAAGGGCAGUAAGUUAAUACCUUGCGGGUUUGACGUUACCAAAAGAAUAAGCACCGGCUAACUUCGUG